rnacentral:misc_RNA from 1 species
UGGAAUGGCCACCAAGAA